UUUGCAUUAAUGAGACUACAGCUUGGGACCCGGAAGCUUGUUAUUUUAUUUUGUCACAUGGCUUUGAGAUUUCAAUAACAACAAAAAAUGGCGACAAUCACGUUGUUCGAUGUGGGCUUGCUGCGUCAUAAAAAUAUUCACGUAAACACCUGGGAUAUACACGAAAUAACAUCGUGUGCAUGCAUUUUGCCUGGAAACAGACAACGCAUAUUUGUUGGAGCUGAUCUAGUGAACAAUGUGAGUGCUUGUGAGACAAGUUGUUUGUCUAGUCUAAGUAAAAUUGGCGUUGUUCAAGCAAUGCUUCAACUUUAGGCUACACAUAUGUUAUUUCAUAAAGGAUUGUGAUAGGCGUUCCCCACUGCUCUGUGAUAGCGAGAAGAGAGAGCUAAUCGAGUUGUUUACAAGAAGCGAUUUGCACGGAGGGCGGGGAGCCUUUGGGAGGAGUCCCAGUGGUCGAGCUACGCGACUGGACUUCCAGAGAAACAUCUAGCUCAGAGGGCGGAGUCACAUAGACCACAACAAGUCUGACGUAAGCGUGAUGGUACGUAUGAAUAAUUAAUUCGUCUGCAUAAUAAAUUCAAUGGCAAUAUUCAAUGUGGUACAUUUACUUCACAUGUAUGAAUUGUAGGUCAAGUACCUGCCCACUUGCUCUAAUUUAUUCAUGUCUAUUUAAUAACUGUGUUUAUGCACAAGUUGGGUCUUUAGCCAACUUUUCCCCACUUAAUUUGUCAGACAUUGUAGGCCUACAUUGAACGUCCAGUAUCCCUUUGUGGGGUGUUGUGUUCUUGCUGUCUCCACUUCAUAUAGUCUCUGCUGUAAGGAUGGGUGGAGAUUCUUACAGCUUUCUAUGUCUGCUUGAUGUGACAGGCUGCCCUGGUUCAGUUAUCAGAGUGCUGAUGCUGUCCAUCUUAAAGGUACAGUACUGUGAUAACUGAAGGAUGGCAGCCAUCUUGACACCACUGAUUCGACAUGGCCAAUGGAGGGCCCUCUCUCACAGCUGGGGAAAAAGGACGUUUUGUAACAAUGUAAUGUGAGCUGUUAUUAUUAAAAUUCAAGAACCAGUACCAA